UACGUAGGGUGCGAGCGUGUCCGGAAUUACUGGGCGUAAAAGAGCUCGUAGGUGGUUUGUCGCGUUUGUUCGUGAAACCUGAGGCUUAACCUUGGGCGUGCGGGCGAUACGGGCAGACUGGAGUACUGCAGGGGAGACUGGAAUUCCUGGUGUAGCGGUGGAAUGCGCAGAUAUCAGGAGGACACCGGUGGCGAAGGCGGGUCUCUGGGCAGUAACUGACGUGGAGGAGCGAAAAGCGUGGGGGAGCGAAACAGGG
rnacentral:rRNA from 1 species